rnacentral:lncRNA from 1 species
GGGCGUUUUGGAGUAAACCAUGCGACCGCAUGGGAUUACACCAUGCGGUCGCAUGGUACUAUUUUGUGACUACUAGUGGCCGUUUUUUGAAUGUUACAAAAUUGAUUUUGGUGAUUUCUUGAAUUUUUUGGCACCAUUUCGUGUAUAUAAACAAGGCCUAUGUAUAAAGGAGCCAUGUUCAAGGCAAAGAGAUAUUGAAAACACUUUAAAUUCAUUCCUCAUUCCUCAACAUAGAUUAAAUCCUGGUUUACAUUCAUAUUCAUUUCUCUUAUUGUAUUCUUCAAGUUUUGGAGAAUUUUACUUUGUGCUUUCAUGAAAUUCUUUACAGGGCUUAUUAUAAUUUUUCAAAUCAUUUGCUGGAAUACCCUUAAAUAUCGAAGAGGAGGCAAAUAACGUUUGAAGAUAGCGAUUUCGCGUUCAAGUCUUCGAAGUUGUUCUUGACAAUUUCCUAAUUUCUUCGUCUUGUUGCUGCAAUUUUUGUGUUAUUUCUUUUGUUCCUUCUCCAUCCCUCCAAUAUUUCCACCAAUAAAUUCUCUUGCGGCAAUUAUUGUUGAACAUGAAAUCAACAAAAAAGCACCCAAUCAAAAUACACAAUUUCCUCCCUCCUUUCCUCCACAACCACCACCAUUGACAACCCCAUCUAUACCAGCGCCAUCACCUCCUCUGAGAUGAACAACUGUACAUCUUCAACAUUGAGAAGACUGAAAAUUAUAGCAACCAUGAAUUUUGCAUUUUCGAAACUUCAAAUAUUUGCUUUGGCCUGAAAAUGAACGAAGAGAAAACAUUCGAUUCUCCAAAAUGUCAGAACUAUCGAAUCUGGUAGUGAAUAAAUCUGCUUCGCCCCCCGCUGCUGAAUUGAGACCACGAUUUUUGCUUCUUUUUUUUUUCGUGUUUGAUUUUCAGUGGGCGACGUUUCCCGGUGGCAACAGGGCGUGUAGAGGAUGGGUUGGCCAUUUCCACCCCCGUCCCGUUGGAUAUUUUUGUUAUCUUAUUCCAUACCCAUACCCGAUUAAAGCGGGACGGGGCGGGUUCGGGUCGAGGUGGGGCAAGUCUCUUUCCCCAUUUCUGGCCCGAUUUAUUUUUUCUUUCUGUUUUUUAAUUUUUUACUUAUUUUUUUAUGUCCUUAGUAAAUAGUAAUGCCUUUUUACCAUGUUGUUAAAAACAACUUAUGCUAUAUUUAAAAUGGAUAAUAAAUCUAUUAUUUUUGUUUGAUAAAAAGUUAAAUUUGAAUUAAUAUUAAACUAGGCGGGUAACGGGGCGGGGACUAUGUUUCCCGUACCUCUCCCAUACUCGCUUCGGGACAAUGACUCUGGCCCCAUACCCAUCCCAUGUACCCGGUUAGGUGGGUAUUAUCCACCCCAUUCGAGGCGGGGCCCAAGGGCAUCAGGUUGAACAGAUUUUUUUGCCAUCCGUAGCGACGUUUGGUGGUUUAAGGGAUGGUGGUGGCUGCUAUGGGCAUAUUUUUGUGUAGGUUGGCGACGGUUGGUCCACGGGGUGAAAUGGGGGUGGGCCUUUCUAGUUUGGUUUUGGUAGAAGGGUUAUUUAUUUUUCUUUUCCAUUUUUUAUUGGUAUUUUUAUUAUUUUAUAUGUUAAUAUUAUAAAGUCAUCAUUUUACCCUCCACUUAAUUGGUCAAAGAAAAUCAAAUUUUAUUUUCUUUGUCAAUUGACGAAAAAAUGGAUGGAAACAUCCAAAAGGGUUUCACAUGCAAUGGUUGAAAAUGUUAGUGGUGACGACUAUAACAAUUGAAAGAUUUGGGAAAUGAAUCACUCGAAUGAUGGUGAUUAUAUGUACACAGUUAUGGUUAUGAGUUUGAGUUACAAGUAUGACAUGUUGAUGGAGGAAUUGUUGGGUGCAACAAGGUUGCUUUUAAACUUAUAGAUUGGAACACUAAAAUUAUGGUGCUCGAAUGACAUAUAAAGGAAUAAAGGUCCACAGUAGUCAAGAAAUUAGAGCAUUGAAUCUGUAAUUAAACUUAUAUUGUGAAUUCGUGGCCUCGAAUCUGGAUGAUAUAGAUUGAAUUAUAUUAAUGUCACAUGCUAUAUCUUUUGAGCAAAGUGAUGACAAUAUCCUACAUCACUUAUCUUUUCCAAUUAACAUUCGACUAGUUUUCAAAACAUUGCCUCGACAACUUUUUGUGGAUAUCAACCUCUCCACAAAAAAUAUGCUUAAAAAGGGAAAACACUUCUUGUAGUCCAUUUUUCUACGUCACUAGAAAUUUGAACUCAAUUGUUUGAUUAAAAAAUUGAAAAAAUUUGUGAAUUUCAUAAAAUAUAUAACUGAAAAUGAG